AAAUUUCCAACUUGAACUCUUCAAUCAAUGAAUUGCUACUAUCAGAGGACCCAAAUUCUGUGGACUCUGGUUUUAUGAGAUCAACUGCAGUUAACAAGUUGAUAGUGUGGAAGAGUGAUAUUACUAAGGCCCUGGAAAAAACUGAAGUUGAGAUUGAUUCACUUGAGAAUGAACUGAAGACAUUUAUCUCUGGACCUGAAAAUAACCAGCUUGUUCCAUCUGCUUCCUGUUCUCCACCAAAAGAUUGCUAUGCAAAUUCUCAGGAAGAUCAAGGCGCUACUUCUAAUACAGCUUCCAGACCUGCUCCUUUGCUAGUUGAUAUACCAGAUGAUUUGAUGGGACAGGAAGAGGCUGAUAUACAUGGUAAUGAGCCGGCCGAGGUGAAAGUAGAGGACAUUGAUAGCCCUGGUAGUGCAACUUCGAAGUUUGUUCAAUUGCCCUCUGAGAAAAGUGUGGAACCUGUUGUUUCCAUGAGACAUGGUGGAAUGUUGAUUUCAGAUGACAGUAUGUCUAGAAGAUUGAAUGUCAACAUGUGCAGUAUAACUGAGGAGAAGGCUAAGUCUAGAAGUUCAGAUUUAAAGCUAUGCAACUUCAACGAGGAAAAAG
rnacentral:misc_RNA from 1 species